rnacentral:rRNA from 1 species
CCUACGGGAGGCAGCAGUGGGGGAUAUUUCACAAUGGGGGAAACCCUGAUGCAGCGACGCCGCGUGGGUGAAGCAUCGCCUCGGCGCGUAAAGCCCUGUCAGCAGGGAAGAAAAUGUCGGUACCUGAAGAAGAAGCCCCGGCUAACUACGUGCCAGCAGCCGCGGUAAUACGUAGGGGGCAAGCGUUAUCCGGAGUGACUGGGUGUAAAGGGGGCGCAGACGGCGUUGCAAGCCAGGAGUGAAAGCCCGGGGCCCAACCCCGGGACUGCGCUGGGAACUGCGUGGCUAGAGUGCAGGGAGGGCAGGCGGAAUUCCUGGUGUAGCGGUGAAAUGCGUAGAUAUCAGGAGGAACACCGGUGGCGAAGGCGGCCUGCUGGACUGCAACUGACGUUGAGGCCCGAAAGCGUGGGGAGCAAACAGGAUUAGAUACCCGUGUAGUC